rnacentral:rRNA from 1 species
UACAGAGGGUGCGAGCGUUAAUCGGAAUUACUGGGCGUAAAGCGUGCGUAGACGGUUAUUUAAGUCGGGUGUGAAAGCCCCGGGCUCAACCUGGGAAUUGCAUUCGAGACUGAAUAGCUAGGGUACGGUAGAGGGAAGCGGAAUUUCCGGUGUAGCGGUGAAAUGCGUAGAUAUCGGAAGGAACAUCAGUGGCGAAAGCGGCUUCCUGGACCAGUACCGACGUUCAGGCACGAAAGCCAGGGGAGCAAACGGGA